AUUGAACGCUGGCGGCAUGCCUUACACAUGCAAGUCGAACGGCAGCACGGGAGCAAUCCUGGUGGCGAGUGGCGAACGGGUGAGUAAUAUAUCGGAACGUGCCCGGUCGUGGGGAUAACGUAGCGAAAGCUAUGCUAAUACCGCAUACGAUCUACGGAUGAAAGCGGGGGAUCGCAAGACCUCGCGCGAUUGGAGCGGCCGAUAUCAGAUUAGGUAGUUGGUGAGGUAAAGGCUCACCAAGCCGACGAUCUGUAGCUGGUCUGAGAGGACGACCAGCCACACUGGGACUGAGACACGGCCCAGACUCCUACGGGAGGCAGCAGUGGGGAAUUUUGGACAAUGGGCGCAAGCCUGAUCCAGCAAUGCCGCGUGCAGGAUGAAGGCCUUC
rnacentral:rRNA from 1 species